GUGUGAGAGGUUCCCAGUAGAUGACUGGGUUGAUAGGCCGGGUGUGUAAGCACGGACUGACGACGUGUUGAGCUGACCGGUACUAAUAGACCAAAGACUUACAAACACCCCCAACC
rnacentral:rRNA from 1 species